CGGCAAAUUAUCCUCAUAAGUUUGACGACAAGAGGAACCGAAUACAACAUAAAAUCUAAACAAUAAAACGGUUGUUUCUAGAUCUUAUAUACAAAUUCGGUGGCACAGAAUCGGAGGCCCCGACUGUUUACUAAAAACACAUCACAGUGCAAUCAUUAAUAUGGUAGUAUACUGUGUGAAAUUUGCCCGAUGCCAUUAAUAUAAAAAAAGUUAUGGUAUAUUCUUUAUACUGUGACUGAUUGAAAAUCUGGUUAAUAGCGGUCUUAACUAUGAGGAUCCUAAGGUAGCAAAAUCAGUUGGCCAUUAAAUGUGGUCCGGUAUCAAUAAUGUAACGAUGGUCUCACUGUCUCUACAACUUGCUCAGUGAAAUUGAAUUACGCGUGCAGAUGCGCGUUGCCUCCAGGGGGACGGGAAGACCCUAUGCAGCUUCUAC
rnacentral:rRNA from 1 species